rnacentral:rRNA from 1 species
UGCCAGCAGCCGCGGUAAUACGAAGGGUGCAAGCGUUGUUCGGAUUUAUUGGGCGUAAAGCGCGCGCAGGCGGAUUUGUAAGUCAGAUGUGAAAUCUCGGGGCUCAACCCCGAAACUGCGUCUGAAACUGGCGAACUUGAGUACGGGAGAGGAAAGUGGAAUUCCGAGUGUAGGGGUGAAAUCCGUAGAUAUUCGGAGGAACACCAGUGGCGAAGGCGGCUUUCUGGACCGAUACUGACGCUGAGACGCGAAAGCGUGGGGAGCAAACAGGAUUAGAUA